rnacentral:miRNA from 1 species
AUGUGUGUGUGUGUGUGUGUGUGUGUGAGAGAGAUACCAGCAAUCUCACACACACACACACACACACACACAGCACACACACACACACACAC